GUCCACCUGCUUGCACCAGCCGGCCCGGUAUGCGUUAUAGCUCGCCUUGGCAUCCUGGAGCUGUUGCUGAAGGUCGGAGACCUUCUUCGACCAUUUUCGGUCGCUGUCGGCCCGAGUCGAAAGUGAGGAUGAGCUUCCUGCCAACUGGCUAAUCCUCUCCUGUGCAGCCGAUAGCUCCACUCUGAGAGAGCUGAUCUUGGCAGCUUGGGCCCA
rnacentral:lncRNA from 1 species